AGAUGUGAGGGCCAUCUGGCUGGAUGUCUGUCACACCAUUGAUCGCCAGGGUUGAUUUGGCUGCUUUGGCUGGCUAGGUGGGUGUCACCUUCCUCCCUCACCACUCCAUGUUUGUCCCUCCCAAAGCUGCAUGCUUGGUGGAAGAUGACCAUUUCCUCAGUCAAGGGUCCACAAGUAGCUGCGCUCCCCUGCUAGAACCUCGAGACAAGCUCUCAAUUAAAAUGCCCACAGCUUUCCUCCUCUGAGAAUCACAGCCACAACCAAAGCUAUUUUUUUAAAGUGUUUUAUUUAU
rnacentral:snRNA from 1 species